AGGACGAACGCUGGCGGCGCGCUUAACACAUGCAAGUCGAGCGAGAACCUGGGCUUCGGCCCUGGGGACAGCGGCGAACGGGUGAGUAACACGUGGGUAAUCUGCCCUUGACAUCGGGAUAGCCCGGGGAAACCCGGAUUAAUACCGAAUAGCCUCCGGAGCCUUCGGGCGCCGGAGAAAAGGUAGCUUCGGCCUCUGGUCAAGGAUGAGCCCGCGGCGGAUUAGCUUGUUGGCGGGGUAACGGCCCACCAAGGCGACGAUCCGUAGCUGGUCUGAGAGGACGAUCAGCCACACUGGGACUGAGACACGGCCCAGACUCCUACGGGAGGCAGCAGUGGGGAAUCUUGCGCAAAUGCGGGAAACCGUGACGCAGCGACGCCGCGUGGGGGAAGAAGGCCUUCGGGUUGUAAACCUCUUUCAGGAGGGACGAAGCUACUCGGGUUAAUAGCCCAGAGGGUGACGGUACCUCCAGAAGAAGCCCGGCUAACUACGUGCCAGCAGCCGC
rnacentral:rRNA from 1 species